rnacentral:rRNA from 1 species
GACGAACGCUGGCGGUGUGCUUCACACAUGCAAGUCGAACGGGGUAGCAAUACCCAGUGGCGGACGGGUGAGUAACGCGUAGAAAUCUGCCUUUAGGUGGGGGAUAACAGUCCGAAAGGACUGCUAAUACCGCAUAUGUGUGUAAUUCGACAGUUUUACACAUGAAAGAAUUUCGCCUGAAGAUGAGUCUGCGUCCGAUUAGCUAGUUGGUAGGGUAAAGGCCUACCAAGGCGACGAUCGGUAGGUGGUCUGAGAGGAUGAUCACCCACAAUGAGAC